ensembl:lncRNA
CUGUUCACAUCUGGGGGACUCAGGCGUAAACAAUCGAUCCUGGCCAAAAUCGAACCAACGCCCAGCCAAUCACGUGGCGCUCCUCCGGUCAUGUGACGCAGACGGUUCACCUCACAAGACCGGGGUCAACCACGGCUACCAGCAUGAACGACGGCGCUUCAAUGCACAAUGAGGGACGUCUGCAGCGACUGAGAAAGAGUCUCACCACAUCCUGACAUGAGGAAAAAGACUUUAUUGAAGACUACAAUGAGAAAAACUAUCAGACAGCAGACGGCUGCAUUCAAGGCUACAGGAGGAGUGCUACGAGGACGAGCCGGUCCACCUGAUGGUGGCCAGUCGCUGUGGUUCAAAGCCAACACCGACUACGUGGACUUCUGCUGGACCACACGGAGGCCUUCAAACCGGACCAACAAGUUCACCGACUCCCCGACUCGUGGGUCUGAGGACGCCGCCGAGCCUCGGUCCCAGCCGGCCUCCUGUCUGUGGGUGUUUGAGUGCUGAGAGGUUUGUGGAUGCAUGUGAACAUGUCUGUGUUGAAACAGCAGCUUUGGACUCAGUAACGCCGGGAAAAACCAAGAGCUCCUUUAUUUGUGACUUCCACUAAAAAACUGAUGAAAAUAAGUUUGCCAGG